ACGGUUUCAGUAACACGUGGAUAACCUGCCCUAUGGUGGAGAAUAACCCCGGGAAACUGGGGAUAAUACUCCAUAGAUUAGAGAUACUGGAAUGUUCUUUAAUCGAAAGUUGAGGCGCCAUAGGAUGGAUCUGCGGUCGAUUAGGUUGUUGUUGGGGUAACGGCCCAACAAGCCUGUAAUCGAUACGGGUUGUGGGAGCAAGAGCCCGGAGAUGGAAUCUGAGACACGAUUCCAGGCCCUACGGGGCGCAGCAGGCGCGAAAAUUUUACAAUGCAGGAAACUGUGAUAAGGGAACCCCGAGUGCCCGUAUACGCGGGCUGUCCAGGUGUCUAAAAAGCAUCUGAAGAAAGGGCCGGGCAAGACCGGUGCCAGCCGCCGCGGUAAUACCGGCGGCUCGAGUGGUGGCCACUAUUAUUGGGCUUAAAGCGUCCGUAGCUGGACUCUUAAGUCUCUUGGGAAAUCCGCCGGCUUAACCGACGGGCGUCUAAGAGAUACUGAGAGUCUAGGGACCGGGAGAGGUGAGAGGUACUCCGGGGGUAGGAGUGAAAUCCUGUAAUCCCUGGGGGACCACCGAUGGCGAAGGCAUCUCACCAGAACGGCUCCGACAGUGAGGGACGAAAGCUGGGGGAGCGAACCGGAUUAGAUACCCGGGUAGUCCCAGCCGUAAACUAUGCGCGUUAGGUGUACUGGUGACCACGAGUCACUGGGGUGCCGAAGGGAAACCGUGAAACGUGCCGCCUGGGAAGUACGGUCGCAAGGCUGAAACUUAAAGGAAUUGGCGGGGGAGCAC
rnacentral:rRNA from 1 species